rnacentral:rRNA from 1 species
GAAAGUAGGAAAGGGCGCAUGGCGGAUGCCUUGGCUCUCGGAGGCGAUGAAGGACGUGAUAAGCUGCGAUAAGUCACGGGGAGGUGCAAAUAACCUUUGAUCCGUGAAUCUCCGAAUGGGACAACCCGAUAUCCUGAAGGGAUAUCACCUUACAUAGUAAGGGGCUAACGCAGGGAACUGAAACAUCUUAGUACCUGCAGGAAAAGAAAAUAACAAUGAUUCCCCCAGUAGUGGCGAGCGAACGGGGAAGAGCCCAAACCAUUCAUGUUACG